rnacentral:rRNA from 1 species
ACUUAAAUUGAAGAGUUUGAUCAUGGCUCAGAUUGAACGCUGGCGGCAGGCCUAACACAUGCAAGUCGAGCGGUAGCACAGAGAGCUUGCUCUCGGGUGACGAGCGGCGGACGGGUGAGUAAUGUCUGGGAAACUGCCUGAUGGAGGGGGAUAACUACUGGAAACGGUAGCUAAUACCGCAUAACGUCGCAAGACCAAAGUGGGGGACCUUCGGGCCUCAUGCCAUCAGAUGUGCCCAGAUGGGAUUAGCUAGUAGGUGGGGUAAUGGCUCACCUAGGCGACGAUCCCUAGCUGGUCUGAGAGGAUGACCAGCCACACUGGAACUGAGACACGGUCCAGACUCCUACGGGAGGCAGCAGUGGGGAAUAUUGCACAAUGGGCGCAAGCCUGAUGCAGCCAUGCCGCGUGUGUGAAGAAGGCCUUCGGGUUGUAAAGCACUUUCAGCGGGGAGGAAGGCGUUAAGGUUAAUAACCUUGGCGAUUGACGUUACCCGCAGAAGAAGCACCGGCUAACUCCGUGCCAGCAGCCGCGGUAAUACGGAGGGUGCAAGCGUUAAUCGGAAUUACUGGGCGUAAAGCGCACGCAGGCGGUCUGUCAAGUCGGAUGUGAAAUCCCCGGGCUCAACCUGGGAACUGCAUUCGAAACUGGCAGGCUAGAGUCUUGUAGAGGGGGUAGAAUUCCAGGUGUAGCGGUGAAAUGCGUAGAGAUCUGGAGGAAUACCGGUGGCGAAGGCGGCCCCCUGGACAAAGACUGACGCUCAGGUGCGAAAGCGUGGGGAGCAAACAGGAUUAGAUACCCUGGUAGUCCACGCCGUAAACGAUGUCGAUUUGGAGGUUGUGCCCUUGAGGCGUGGCUUCCGGAGCUAACGCGUUAAAUCGACCGCCUGGGGAGUACGGCCGCAAGGUUAAAACUCAAAUGAAUUGACGGGGGCCCGCACAAGCGGUGGAGCAUGUGGUUUAAUUCGAUGCAACGCGAAGAACCUUACCUGGUCUUGACAUCCACAGAACUUUCCAGAGAUGGAUUGGUGCCUUCGGGAACUGUGAGACAGGUGCUGCAUGGCUGUCGUCAGCUCGUGUUGUGAAAUGUUGGGUUAAGUCCCGCAACGAGCGCAACCCUUAUCCUUUGUUGCCAGCGGUUAGGCCGGGAACUCAAAGGAGACUGCCAGUGAUAAACUGGAGGAAGGUGGGGAUGACGUCAAGUCAUCAUGGCCCUUACGACCAGGGCUACACACGUGCUACAAUGGCAUAUACAAAGAGAAGCGACCUCGCGAGAGCAAGCGGACCUCAUAAAGUAUGUCGUAGUCCGGAUUGGAGUCUGCAACUCGACUCCAUGAAGUCGGAAUCGCUAGUAAUCGUAGAUCAGAAUGCUACGGUGAAUACGUUCCCGGGCCUUGUACACACCGCCCGUCACACCAUGGGAGUGGGUUGCAAAAGAAGUAGGUAGCUUAACCUUCGGGAGGGCGCUUACCACUUUGUGAUUCAUGACUGGGGUGAAGUCGUAACAAGGUAACCGUAGGGGAACCUGCGGUUGGAUCACCUCCUUACCUUAAAGAA